rnacentral:rRNA from 1 species
GUGCGGUUAAAAAGCUCGUAGUUGGAUCUCGGCAAGUAGAGGGCGGUAUGCUUCGUAGCAUUACUGCCCUAUUACUUGUAGUUUUGCCAGAGGUUCCUGGGUGCUCUUAAUCGAGUGUCUAGGGAUGCUGGCAGGUUUACUUUGAAAAAAUUAGAGUGCUCAAAGCAGGCUAUUACGCUUGAAUAUUCGUGCAUGGAAUAAUAGAAUAGGAAGUUGUUUCUAUUUUGUUGGUUUUCGGAAAUCGACUUAAUGAUUAAUAGGGACAGUCGGGGGCAUUUGUAUUCAAACGACAGAGGUGAAAUUCUUGGACCGUUUGAAGACAAACUACUGCGAAAGCAUUUGCCAAGAAUGUUUUCAUUAAUCAAGAACGAAAGUUAGAGGUUCGAAGGCGAUUAGAUACCGCCCUAGUUCUAACCAUAAACGAUGCCAGCUAGCGAUCUGAGGACGUUUUUUUUGUAGACUCCUCAGGAAGCUUCCGGGAAACCAAAGCGUGUGGGUUCCGGGGGAAGUAUGGUUGCAAAGCUGAAACUUAAAGGAAUUGAC